GUCCAGCUGAAGAGUUCCAAAUAGGAGGAAACGCGAGUUCCGGGU
rnacentral:hammerhead_ribozyme from 1 species